GAUCACUCACUAUAAGGAUCCAGACAAGCAACAGUUAUCCAUGAAGCUGUAGUCAGAGAGACUGUGGAUGAUGGGUUGUCUCAUGGUCACUGGGGGUCUCCUUGUAAUUCUACUGUUCCAUCCUCCAGCAGCUCAGAUGGAGAGCCCAGAUACAGAUGUGGAGGCCGUGAGGUUCGAAGAGUUUUGUCUGAAAAUCUCUGAUGAUUGGCAGUGUACAACCGCUGAACCAGAGCCCAGACAAACAGUUACCAACAAGGAGGCAGCUGAGAGCACACAACUGGCAAUGUCUUCACCGUCAGAUGACAAGGAAGGCAGAGCAGGCAACAGAUGGCACACAGACAGCAGAGUUGGG